GGGGCUAUAGCGCAGUUGGUAGCGCAUCUGCUUUGCAAGCAGAGGGUCGCCGGUUCGAACCCGGCUAGCUCCACUA
rnacentral:tRNA from 1 species